rnacentral:rRNA from 1 species
AUCAACGCUGGCGGCGUGCCUAACACAUGCAAGUCGCACGAGAAAGUGGAGCAAUCCAUGAGUAAAGUGGCCGUACGGGUGAGUACACGUGACUAACCUACCUUUGAGUGGGGAAUAACCUCGGGAAACCGGGGGCUAAUACCGCAUAAACACUUACGAGUCAAAGCCGAAGGCGCUUAAAGAGGGGGUCGCGGCUGAUUAGCUAGUUGGUAGGGUAAUGGCCUACCAAGGCGACGAUCAGUAUCCGGCCUGAGAGGGCGCACGGACACCACUGGAACUGAAAACACGGUCCAGACUCCUACGGGAGGCAGGCAGUGGGGAAUUUUGCACAAUGGGGGAAACCCUGAUGCAGCAACGCCGCGUGGAGGAGGAUGAAGUCCCUUGGGACGUAAAACUCCUUUUCGACCGGGACGAUAAUGACGGUACCGGUGGAAGAAGCCCCGGCUAACUUCGUGCCAGCAGCCGCGGUAUACGAGGGGGGCAAGCGUUUGUUCGGAAUUAUUGGGCGUAAGGGUGCGUAGGCGGUGCGGUAAGUCAUCUGUGGAAAUCUCCGGGCCUCAACUCGGAGCCUGCAGGCGAAACUGCCGUGCUGGAGUAUGGGAGAGGUUGAGUGGAAUUUCCCGGUGAGCGGUGAAAUGCGUAGAUAUCGGGAGGAAACACCUGUGGCGAAAGCGGCUCACUGGACCAUAACUGACGCUGAUGCACGAAAGCUAGGGGAGCAAACAGGAUUAGAUACCCUGGUAGUCCUAGCCCUAAACUAUGGAUGCUUGGUGUAGCGGGUACCCAAUCCCGCCGUGCCGGAGUCUAAACGCGAUAAGCAUCCCGCCUGGGGAGUACGGUCGCAAGGCUGAAAACUCAAAGGAAUUGACGGGGGCCCGCACAAGCGGUGGAGCAUGUGGUUUCAAUUCGACGCAACGCGAAGAACCUUACCUGGGCUCGAAGCGCAGUGGAAGUUGGUGGGAAACAUCAACGCCCGCAAGGGCUGCUGCGUAGGUUGCUGCAUGGCUGUCGUCAGCUCGUGUUCGUGAGAUGUUGGGUUAAGUCCCGCAACGAGCGCAACCCUUAUUGCCAGUUGCCUAACAGGUCAAGCUGAGCACUCUGGCGAAACUGCCCCGGAUAAACGGGGAGGAAGGUGGGGAUGACGUCAAGUCCUCAUGGGCCUUUAUGUCCAGGGCUACACACGUGCUACAAUGGUCCGGUACAAAACUGUCGCAAACCCGCGGAGGGGGAGCUAAUCGGAAAAAGCCGACCUCAGUUCGGAUUGGAGUCUGCAACUCGACUCCAUGAAGCUGGAAUCGCUAGUAAUCGCAGAUCAGCACGCUGCGGUGAAUACGUUCCCGGGCCUUGUACACACCGCCCGUCACAUCACGAAAGUGGGCUGCACUAGAAGUCCGGGGGCCGACCCGCAAGGGGGGCAGCCCGCCCAAGGUGUAGUUCAUGAUUGGGGGU